rnacentral:rRNA from 1 species
UUGAACGCUGGCGGCAUGCUUUACACAUGCAAGUCGAACGGUAACAGGUUAAGCUGACGAGUGGCGAACGGGUGAGUAAUGCAUCGGAACGUGCCCGAUCGUGGGGGAUAACGCAGCGAAAGUUGCGCUAAUACCGCAUACGAUCUGAGGAUGAAAGCGGGGGACCGUAAGGCCUCGCGCGAUCGGAGCGGCCGAUGUCAGGUUAGGUAGUUGGUGGGGUAAAGGCUCACCAAGCCGACGAUCUGUAGCUGGUCUGAGAGGACGACCAGCCACACUGGGACUGAGACACGGCCCAGACUCCUACGGGAGGCAGCAGUGGGGAAUUUUGGACAAUGGGCGAAAGCCUGAUCCAGCAAUGCCGCGUGCAGGAAGAAGGCCUUCGGGUUGUAAAGUUCUUUUGUCAGGGAAGAAAGUUUCUGUGCUAAUACCAUAGAACGAUGACGGUACCUGAAGAAUAAGCACCGGCUAACUACGU